AGUUUUCGAUUUGGGCUCUUGAUUCCAGGUUAGGAUUUUGAAUUUUGAAGCCUUUACUUCUCCAAUGGAGCUUCCUUUCCUCUUCAUCUGAGUGCCACUUUUCAGAACAUCUCCAUAGGUCAUUGAGGCUCCGGACAUAAGCUUAUGUUUCCAAACUUGAUGGCAUUCGAUCCAAACAGAGGUAAUCCAUUUACCUCUUCCUUGUUUUGCUUUUGAAAUAUCAGCCUUUGAUUCUCAACAAGUUUACUCUUGUCAUUGAUCUCCAACUUGUGAACCCCAAAUUCUUUGUGCUUUGUUGCUUGAUUCUCCUCUGCA